rnacentral:rRNA from 1 species
GACGAACGCUGGCGGCGUGCUUAACACAUGCAAGUCGAACGGAAAGGCCCUGCUUGCCGGGUACUCGAGUGGCGAACGGGUGAGUAACACGUGGGUGAUCUGCCCUGCACUUCGGGAUAAGCCUGGGAAACUGGGUCUAAUACCGGAUAGGAGCCAUUUUUAGUGUGAUGGUUGGAAAGUUUUUUCGGUGUAGGAUGAGCUCGCGGCCUAUCAGCUUGUUGGUGGGGUAAUGGCCUACCAAGGCGGCGACGGGUAGCCGGCCUGAGAGGGUGGACGGCCACAUUGGGACUGAGAUACGGCCCAGACGCCGACGGGAGGCAGCAGGGGGGAAUAUUGCACAAUGGGCGCAAGCCGGAUGCAGCGACGCCGCGUGGGGGAGGACGGCCUUCGGGUUGUAAACUCCUUUCGCUAGGGACGAAGCUUUUUGUGACGGUACCUAGAGAAGAAGCACCGGCUAACUACGUG